rnacentral:misc_RNA from 1 species
GUGAAUCAUCAAAUCUUUGAACGCAAAUUGCACUCUCCUCGGAGAGUAUGCCUGUUUGAGGGUCAGCCUAUAAAAAAUCGACAUCGUUGCUGUUUCGCGGUGGCGAUCAUCGGGAGUUGGGUCAUCUUCAAUCUUUUUGGUUUUUAAGCGACUUAAAAUUUUCUUUUUGGUUCCAUGUCCGUUUCUAAGAUUUAUUUCUUUACACGUUUAAGGUAUCGAUUUUUAUUAGACGUGACCAUCAUAUCGGAUCGCGUCCUUAAUCUUUCAUUCACU